rnacentral:tRNA from 1 species
CAUUAGGUGGCUGAAAAUCAAGCAAUGGUCUCUUAAACCAAAAUAUAGUAUAUCAUACUCCUAAUGA